CGCUCACGCUGGCGAGGUGCUGACCGCCAGGGCGUGGGGGACAUCGAGCACUGGGGGGAUGCCGUGAGAAGCUCGACGCGCUGGCGAAGAUAGAGGCGCGAGGCGAAAUGUCUGUCGGGC
rnacentral:ncRNA from 1 species